GACGAACGCUGGCGGCGUGCUUAACACAUGCAAGUCGAACGGUGAAGCGCCUUCCUUUUUGGUGGGUGUGGUUGAGUGGCGAACGGUUGAGUAACACGUGAGUAACCUGCCCCCUUCUUCUGGAUAACCGCAUGAAAGUUUGGCUAAUACGGGAUAUUCUGGUUCUUUCGCAUGAUUGGUCUGGGAAAGAUAUUGUUUCGGUGGGGGAUGGUCUCGCGGCCUAUCAGGUUGUUGGUGGGGUGAUGGCCUACCAAGGCGGUGGCGGGUAGCCGGCAUGGUAGGGUGGACGGUCAGACUGGGACAGAGACAAGGCCAAGACUCCUACGGGAGGCAGCAGUGGAGAAUAUUGCACAAUGGGGGAAAGGCUGAUGCAGCGACGCCGCGUGAGGGAUGGAGGCCUUCGGGUUGUGAACCUCUUUCGCCAGUGAAGCAGGCCUGCCUCGUUUGUGGGUGGGUUGACGGUAGCUGGAUAAGAAGCGCCGGCUAACUACGUG
rnacentral:rRNA from 1 species